AUAGAUAAUAUAUUUUAAAAUAAAUAAAUUAAUUCAUGUACUUGUAAAAUUAUAAUGCAAAGACAAUAUUUAACAAUCGAGGGAAAGCAUCAAAACGGGAAGGGAAAAGUUUGUUUAUAAUUCAGUCCUGUCUUUCCUAUUUGUUUCAAAAAUGAAAAUCACAGCUAAUCCCUCCUUCAAAGUCGGAACAAAUGAAACACAGCAUAGUUAUACGAUUCAUGGUUGGGAUUAUGCAACAGAGGAUAAAAGAGAGGGGAAGUAACCUAGGAUAAAAGAGAGGGGAAGGAGCAAAGUAUGAUAGGGAAGAUUGAAUGAUUCUAUAUAGAAUGAUAAGCCACUUAAAAUUAAUUGCAUGUACCUUAACAAAUAAGGAAGAGG
rnacentral:misc_RNA from 1 species